rnacentral:rRNA from 1 species
AGAGUUUGAUCCUGGCUCAGGACGAACGCUGGCGGCGUGCUUAACACAUGCAAGUCGAACGAGAACCUGCGAUGCUUGCAUCAAGGGGGACAGUGGCGAACGGGUGAGUAACACGUAGGUAAUCUGCCCUCGAGUGGGGAAUAAUUCCGGGAAACUGGUUGUAAUACCGCAUGAUAUCCCUGCGGGGCAUCCCUUGGGGAUCAAAGGCGCAAGCCGCUCGAGGAUGAACCUGCGUCCCAUUAGCUUGUUGGUGAGGUAACGGCUCACCAAGGCUACGAUGGGUAGCUGGUCUGAGAGGACGAUCAGCCACACUGGGACUGAGAUACGGCCCAGACUCCUACGGGAGGCAGCAGUGAGGAAUAUUGCGCAAUGGACGCAAGUCUGACGCAGCAACGCCGCGUGGGCGAUGAAGCUCUUUUGAGUGUAAAGCCCUGUUGAGAGGGAAGAACAGGCUCGUAUCGCGAGCCCCGACUGUACCUCUACAGAAAGCUCCGGCUAACUCCGUGCCAGCAGCCGCGGUAAUACGGGGGGAGCAAGCGUUGUCCGGAUUUAUUGGGCGUAAAGGGCGCGUAGGUGGGUCUGUAAGUGAAGGGUGAAAUCCCGGGGCUUAACUCCGGAACUGCCUUUCAGACUGCAAGCCUCGAGUGCGGGUAGGGGAGAUGGAAUUCCUGGUGUAGCGGUGGAAUGCGUAGAUAUCAGGAGGAACACCGGUGGCGAAGGCGAUCUCCUGGCCCGUAACUGACACUGAGGCGCGAAAGCGUGGGGAGCAAACAGGAUUAGAUACCCUGGUAGUCCACGCUGUAAACUAUGGGCACUAGGUGUUGGAGGAUUCGACCCCUUCAGUGCCGCAGCUAACGCAUUAAGUGCCCCGCCUGGGGAGUACGAUCGCAAGGUUGAAACUCAAAGGAAUUGACGGGGGCCCGCACAAGCGGUGGAGUAUGUGGUUUAAUUCGACGCAACGCGAAGAACCUUACCUGGGCUUGACAUCCGCUGACAGUCCUGGAAACAGGAUCUUCCCCGCAAGGGGACGGCGAGACAGGUGCUGCAUGGCUGUCGUCAGCUCGUGUCGUGAGAUGUUGGGUUAAGUCCCGCAACGAGCGCAACCCUCAUCCUUAGUUGCCAUCAUUGAGUUGGGCACUCUAAGGAAACUGCCCCGGUUAACGGGGAGGAAGGUGGGGAUGACGUCAAGUCCUCAUGGCCUUUAUGUCCAGGGCUACACACGUGCUACAAUGGGCGGUACAAAGGGUUGCAAUACCGUAAGGUGGAGCUAAUCCCAAAAAGCCGCUCUCAGUUCAGAUUAGAGUCUGCAACUCGACUUUAUGAAGGCGGAAUCGCUAGUAAUCGCGGAUCAGCAUGCCGCGGUGAAUACGUUCCCGGGCCUUGUACACACCGCCCGUCACACCAUGAGAGCUGAUUGUACCAGAAGUCGUUGGGCUAACCCAGGGUUCGCCUUUGGGAGGCAGGCGCCUAAGGUAUGGUUGGUGAUUGGGGUGAAGUCGUAACAAGGUAACC